UAGAAUCUGGAGGAGGAGUGUGUGAUAAGGAGCUCGCCCGAAGUAGUAUAAUUAGGUUUUCUUCGCAAUCGCGCCUCAAAUCUCCCUUCGAUCUCUACAUCUAUCGUCCGUACGUACAAAUCCUCUUCGUUGCAGAUCUUUACCUUAAUCGCUUUUUGGGAAUAUGUGAAGAUUAACAAGGUUUGCGAAGAAAUGGCCAAGAACCGUGCAGGGAAUUUAGUUCUUACUUCAUGGAUCAAUUUUACUUGAUUUUAAGCAAAUGUUAUUGUCUGAUGAAAACACACAACAAACAGUGGCAGAGCUGUCCCCAGGCAGCAUUUAGACUUGUUGAUGGUAACUGUGGCGGCGGUGGUCGCAGAGGUAUGUGCACGGCUUUUUCUCUUCAUUUAUUUUUGUAAUUCACUGGCUAAUUUGUUGUUUUUUUUUUUAAAAAAAACCCUGCAGCUUAUACAUGGUUUCUAUUUAGGAAUAAAAUUGGCGGGUGGAGAGCGAGGCCGAAAGAAAAUGCUCACUCUUAAAGCCUUUUCUUCUUAUCUGUUUGCUUAGUUAAGAGUAUCAUGCUGAGAAUGAAUUUGUUUUCGCUUGUUUUAUGGAUCUUUCUAGCUCCUGCUUUUUUGGGUUCUUUCUUUGUUUACUUAUGCCACACUCUGUAAACAUGUGAUAGAUGGAUCCAAUUAUAAUAUCUUUUAGUUUCAUUUUUUUAGUGGAAAUUUCUUUUUUAUUCGAUUGUAAAUUUCCUUCAAUUUUUGGCACCCUCUCUCAAUGUGGAUGUGCAGAUACUUUCCUGAAGCUAUUCUUUGAAAUGCCCCUCUAAUUCUAAAAGUAGAUCUCAAUUCACAGUUUAUCUGAAGAAUCAGAGAUUCUUAGUCCUAGUCUCACAUGUGAUGAUAUUUGCUUAUGUUUCUGCUGUGUCUGUCAAAUGUUUCAGGAACAGUAAACUAAUUAGGUCUCAUUGGAGAA